rnacentral:lncRNA from 1 species
GAGAUCAGAACUAUCAUCACCUCCAUCUUCAGAGGAGGAGACGAGCCUGGAGAAGACGCUGGGCCACUUGUGGGUCCCCAGCCAGGAGGGAGUGCCAGGCGCCAAGGGGUCUCCAUGUCCAGCCCCUGCACAGGUGCCCAGGCCGCACACACGUCGGGGGAGAGCCCGCCGGGCCAGCCUCGCCUCUGUGGGCCAGCUCUCGUCUUCCUCCAGCAGCUUCCCUGUCUUCAGCGCUCCCUGUGGUCUUCAGAGCUCCUGCCAUCUGAACCCAUUCCGGCAUCCGGCUGCAGUCUUUGCUGCGCCGGAGCCACUCAGCCCACGUUCACCCUGCGUGAGCACAUCCUGUCUCAGCCCAGGGGACUAUUUCCAGGUGGCAAGCAAGCUGCUUCUGAGGCGGUUGGGAGCCGAGUCCCCGAGUGAGUGAGAAGCCCCCACACUGUCAGCUUCUGCGCCAGGAAGGGAGCGUUACGUGGAAAGAGGAGAGGAAAAGCACGAUGGGCGUGACGGCGCGUGGAGCCAGCAGUCCUGUUCUGGACCUUCGUGCCGACCCCUGGGAAGGGUCAGCGCGUCCACACGCUUCUUCUACUUCCUUCUCUGUCAGCUGAGAGGGUCCAGCCCCGUGCACGGGCGUCUCUCCUGCCCGCUUCGUGUGGGAGAACCAGGCUCUGGGCCACACGAGCUCAAGGCCAGGCAGUGGGGAUGUGGGCCCCAGCUAGUGGUCAUGUCCCCGCCAGGCGUGUCCAAGGCGCUCUUGCAGACACUCUGGUGUGACAGUGAGAAGAAAAAGGGCAAAUGCUGCCUCCGUGGAGCUCUGGUCUCCAGGGGGAGAUGAACCACAGACAAUACGCAGUGGGUCUGGGAGUGACAAGGACACUGAGGGAAGAGGUCCAGGGUGAUAGGACAGGCUCGGGGGACGGUGGGGGGGUGUUUGAGCAGAGCCCCCAGGCGGGAUGACCAUCACCAUCUGUCAGGAGACUUGCCCACACCCCACCCCAUUAAACGCAGGCCCAGAGUUCGAGCCCAGGUUUAUAUUUUCCUGGUGACCAUAGGGUGGUGUGGCCCUGGGGAAGGAGCUGAGACCCUACGAGAGGGCACCUAGCAGUGAGGACAGGUGCCUCCUUUCCCAAACCCGAGGCAGCGCCCGUCUCCCUCCCACAGCGAGCGCGCGGCUCUGACUCACCGUGAGAGCGGGAGUGACGCGGGCCGUCCACUUUACGACAAUUGGAUCUAAGAAUAUCCUGUCGCCCCCGCCACUGAGCCUGGGAAGAUGAAGAGACAAGGCUGUGAGAAUUCUCAGAGAUAAAAAGGCUUCUAAAAGGAAGUAGCAGGGAGUUCACACAAGCUUCUCCCCUGCAAGGUUUGUCGAGUUCUGGUGCACAUUCCAAUUUUCCUAAUAAAUGGAUUGAUGUCUAAAUACUAUUUCUUCUCUCUGUUGAAAAUACUUGCAGUGAUUAAUCCUGUCGCCGAUUUGACUUGACACAGUAAUUGGGAAACCAACUGGAUACCUUUGCAAGGAGAGUUAAGUAACCAGAUUUUUAAACUGAUUUUUCUUUUUUCCUUUUCUUCUUUUUUUAAAUUGGUAUAAAACUAAUAUGUGUGCAUGAUAAAAUUAAACACAAUAAAGGGAAUAAAAUUAGAGAUACAAGGUUCUCUCCAUCCCACCCCCACCAACCCCAGCUCUGUUCUCACUAUUGUAACCGUGUGUAAUCUUUCAGAAAUGUGCAUGCAAAGGGUGUGGGGGUGUGUGCUCACGUAUAAAUUUAAACAUCAAUGAGAUCACGCUGUAAUCGGCUCCAAAUCUUGACAUAUUGGAUAAACAACAUAUUGAAGAGAUCUUUCCAAAUAGAACCAGCUCAUUCCUUUAUAUCCUUCUAAUUUUUGGCUACUAUGGUUGUCUUGUUUUUGAAAAACAUGCAUAAAACUCCUACUGCGACUGUGGACUUGUGAUUCCACCAUUGCUUGCACACAAUCCACACCCACACAUGAACGCUCCUGCAUGCACACAUCACGCAAGCACACACGUGUGCAUCCCACAUGCACAUAUCACACACGUGUGCACACACAUUUGCACCCAGACAGACACGCUUCCCACCUGCAUCUCCACACACACCGACCCCUAAACACACACUGACACCUGUGCACACACCAUCCCACGCACACCCACACCCACGUACCCCAGACACAUUCACGCACGCUGACACUCCCUCGCACCAUCCCCCGCCCCCACACGCUGACAUACACACGCUGUAUUCCGCCGUAACAAAUGAUCACAAGCUUCGUGGCUCAAAACAGCAGAAAUUGAUUCUCUCGCAGUCUGGAGGCCAGACGCCCCAAAUCCAGGUGUGGGCAGGGCUGCGUUCCCUCUGAAGGCUCUAGAGGACCCUUCCUGCCUCUUCCAGCUCCUGGUGGCUGCCAGGAACCCUUUUUUGGUUGCCUCACUCCAGCCUCUGCCUCCCUGUGUGUCUGUGUCUCUGUGUCCAAAUUUCCCUCUUCUUCUUAUUUUUGGUGAGGAAGAUUGGCCCUGAGCUGACAUCUGUGCCCAUCUUCCUCUGUUCCAUAUGUGGG